rnacentral:piRNA from 1 species
UGACUCUUAACAAGCAUGCUGCCUUCAAGC